rnacentral:rRNA from 1 species
AACGAACGCUGGCGGCAUGCCUAACACAUGCAAGUCGAACGAGACCUUCGGGUAUCGUGGCGCACGGCUGCGUAACGCGUGGGAACCUGCCCUUAGGUUCGGAAUAACUCCCCGAAAGGGGUUCUAAUACCGGAUAAUGUCCUCGGACCAAAGAUUUAUCGCCUUUGGAUGGGCCAGCGUUUGAUUCGCUUGUGGGUGGGGUAAAGGCCUACCAAGGUGACGAUCCAUAGCUGGUCUGAGAGGAUGAUCAGCCACACUGGAACUGAGACACGGCCCAGACACCUAGGGGAGGCACCAGGCGGGAAUACUGCAGAAUGGGAGCAGGGGUGAUUAAGGCAUACGGCGUGAAUGCAGAAGGCCGUCGGGCUGUAAAGUACUUUAAGCGGUGAGGAUGGGAAUACCGUUUAUACCGGUGCUAAUUGACGUUACCCGGAGAAAAAGCCCCGGCUAACUCCGUG